rnacentral:rRNA from 1 species
UACGGAGGGUGCAAGCGUUAUCCGGAUUCACUGGGUUUAAAGGGUGCGUAGGAGGAAAGGUAAGUCAGUGGUGAAAUCUCCAAGCUUAACUUGGAAACUGCCGUUGAUACUAUCUUUCUUGAAUACCGUGGAGGUGAGCGGAAUAUGUCAUGUAGCGGUGAAAUGCUUAGAUAUGACAUAGAACACCCAUUGCGAAGGCAGCUCGCUACACGAAUAUUGACUCUGAGGCACGAAAGCGUGGGGAUCAAACAGG